GACGAACGCUGGCGGCGUGCUUAACACAUGCAAGUCGAACGGAAAGGCCCUGCUUUUGUGGGGUGCUCGAGUGGCGAACGGGUGAGUAACACGUGAGUAACCUGCCAUUGACUUUGGGAUAACUUCAGGAAACUGGGGCUAAUACCGGAUAGGAGCUCCUGCCGCAUGGUGGGGGUUGGAAAGUUUCGGCGGUUGGGGAUGGACUCGCGGCUGAUCAGCUUGUUGGUGUGGUAGUGGCUUACCAAGGCUUUGACGGGUAGCCGGCCUGGUAGGGUGACCGGCCACAUUGGAACUGAGAUGCGGCCCAGACUCCUACGGGAGGCAGCAGUGGGGAAUAGUGCACAAUGGGCGGAAGCCUGAUGCAGCAACGCCGCGUGCGGGAUGACGGCCUUCGGUUUGUAAACCGCUUUCGCCUUUGACGAAGCGUGAGUGACGGUAAUGGGUAAAGAAGCACCGGCUAACUACGUG
rnacentral:rRNA from 1 species